rnacentral:rRNA from 1 species
UGGGGAAUAUUGCACAAUGGGCGGAAGCCUGAUGCAGCGACGCCGCGUGGGGGAUGACGGCCUUCGGGUUGUAAACCUCUUUCGACAGGGACGAAGCCUCUUGGGGUGACGGUACCUGUAUAAGAAGCACCGGCUAACUACGUGCCAGCAGCCGCGGUAAUACGUAGGGUGCGAGCGUUGUCCGGAAUUACUGGGCGUAAAGAGCUCGUAGGUGGUUUGUCGCGUCGUCUGUGAAAUUCCGGGGCUUAACCUCGGGCGUGCAGGCGAUACGGGCAAUACUUGAGUGCUGUAGGGGAGACUGGAAUUCCUGGUGUAGCGGUGAAAUGCGCAGAUAUCAGGAGGAACACCGAUGGCGAAGGCAGGUCUCUGGGCAGUAACUGACGCUGAGGAGCGAAAGCAUGGGUAGCGAACAGGAUUAGAUACCCUGGUAGUCCAUGCCGUAAACGGUGGGCGCUAGGUGUAGGGGUCUUCCACGACUUCUGUGCCGUAGCUAACGCAUUAAGCGCCCCGCCUGGGGAGUACGGCCGCAAGGCUAAAACUUAAAGGAAUUGACGGAUCGUAGC